GUGGCUAUCGUAGUAAAUUUCCAGGUGCUGCAAAAUGCAAAUAAUUGUGAGGCAAUGGAUAAGAAACCCAAAUAUUGGCAUGAGAACGAAAAAGGUUUUGGCUGGGCAUGCUCGAACCCAUCCAGAAAUUUUCCUCAGAAAAGAACAGUCAACCAUCAAAUUAAUCUUUUCUUUUGAACCACAUCUUUACUGGAAGGUAUUCAACAACACUUCAACAUAUCUUUGAUGAAGGCAUUCAACAACACGCUACCAUUUUGACCUGAAUAAAUCCCUGUAGCAAUUAUUACCACAUUCAUAGGCAUGCGUAAA
rnacentral:lncRNA from 1 species